GGUUAAGCGACUAAGCGUACACGGUGGAUGCCCUGGCAGUCAGAGGCGAUGAAGGACGUGCUAAUCUGCGAUAAGCGUCGGUAAGGUGAUAUGAACCGUUAUAACCGGCGAUUUCCGAAUGGGGAAACCCAGUGUGAUUCGUCACACUAUCAUUAACUGAAUCCAUAGGUUAAUGAGGCGAACCGGGGGAACUGAAACAUCUAAGUACCCCGAGGAAAAGAAAUCAACCGAGAUUCCCCCAGUAGCGGCGAGCGAACGGGGAGCAGCCCAGAGCCUGAAUCAGUGUGUGUGUUAGUGGAAGCGUCUGGAAAGGCGCGCGAUACAGGGUGACAGCCCCGUACACAAAAAUGCACAUACUGUGAGCUCGAUGAGUAGGGCGGGACACGUGGUAUCCUGUCUGAAUAUGGGGGGACCAUCCUCCAAGGCUAAAUACUCCUGACUGACCGAUAGUGAACCAGUACCGUGAGGGAAAGGCGAAAAGAACCCCGGCGAGGGGAGUGAAAAAGAACCUGAAACCGUGUACGUACAAGCAGUGGGAGCCUCUUUAUGGGGUGACUGCGUACCUUUUGUAUAAUGGGUCAGCGACUUAUAUUCUGUAGCAAGGUUAACCGAAUAGGGGAGCCGAAGGGAAACCGAGUCUUAACUGGGCGUUAAGUUGCAGGGUAUAGACCCGAAACCCGGUGAUCUAGCCAUGGGCAGGUUGAAGGUUGGGUAACACUAACUGGAGGACCGAACCGACUAAUGUUGAAAAAUUAGCGGAUGACUUGUGGCUGGGGGUGAAAGGCCAAUCAAACCGGGAGAUAGCUGGUUCUCCCCGAAAGCUAUUUAGGUAGCGCCUCGUGAAUUCAUCUCCGGGGGUAGAGCACUGUUUCGGCAAGGGGGUCAUCCCGACUUACCAACCCGAUGCAAACUGCGAAUACCGGAGAAUGUUAUCACGGGAGACACACGGCGGGUGCUAACGUCCGUCGUGAAGAGGGAAACAACCCAGACCGCCAGCUAAGGUCCCAAAGUCAUGGUUAAGUGGGAAACGAUGUGGGAAGGCCCAGACAGCCAGGAUGUUGGCUUAGAAGCAGCCAUCAUUUAAAGAAAGCGUAAUAGCUCACUGGUCGAGUCGGCCUGCGCGGAAGAUGUAACGGGGCUAAACCAUGCACCGAAGCUGCGGCAGCGACACUAUGUGUUGUUGGGUAGGGGAGCGUUCUGUAAGCCUGUGAAGGUGUACUGUGAGGUAUGCUGGAGGUAUCAGAAGUGCGAAUGCUGACAUAAGUAACGAUAAAGCGGGUGAAAAGCCCGCUCGCCGGAAGACCAAGGGUUCCUGUCCAACGUUAAUCGGGGCAGGGUGAGUCGACCCCUAAGGCGAGGCCGAAAGGCGUAGUCGAUGGGAAACAGGUUAAUAUUCCUGUACUUGGUGUUACUGCGAAGGGGGGACGGAGAAGGCUAUGUUGGCCGGGCGACGGUUGUCCCGGUUUAAGCGUGUAGGCUGGUUUUCCAGGCAAAUCCGGAAAAUCAAGGCUGAGGCGUGAUGACGAGGCACUACGGUGCUGAAGCAACAAAUGCCCUGCUUCCAGGAAAAGCCUCUAAGCAUCAGGUAACAUCAAAUCGUACCCCAAACCGACACAGGUGGUCAGGUAGAGAAUACCAAGGCGCUUGAGAGAACUCGGGUGAAGGAACUAGGCAAAAUGGUGCCGUAACUUCGGGAGAAGGCACGCUGAUAUGUAGGUGAAGUCCCUCGCGGAUGGAGCUGAAAUCAGUCGAAGAUACCAGCUGGCUGCAACUGUUUAUUAAAAACACAGCACUGUGCAAACACGAAAGUGGACGUAUACGGUGUGACGCCUGCCCGGUGCCGGAAGGUUAAUUGAUGGGGUCAGCGCAAGCGAAGCUCUUGAUCGAAGCCCCGGUAAACGGCGGCCGUAACUAUAACGGUCCUAAGGUAGCGAAAUUCCUUGUCGGGUAAGUUCCGACCUGCACGAAUGGCGUAAUGAUGGCCAGGCUGUCUCCACCCGAGACUCAGUGAAAUUGAACUCGCUGUGAAGAUGCAGUGUACCCGCGGCAAGACGGAAAGACCCCGUGAACCUUUACUAUAGCUUGACACUGAACAUUGAGCCUUGAUGUGUAGGAUAGGUGGGAGGCUUUGAAGUGUGGACGCCAGUCUGCAUGGAGCCGACCUUGAAAUACCACCCUUUAAUGUUUGAUGUUCUAACGUUGGCCCCUGAUCGGGGUUGCGGACAGUGUCUGGUGGGUAGUUUGACUGGGGCGGUCUCCUCCUAAAGAGUAACGGAGGAGCACGAAGGUUGGCUAAUCCUGGUCGGACAUCAGGAGGUUAGUGCAAUGGCAUAAGCCAGCUUGACUGCGAGCGUGACGGCGCGAGCAGGUGCGAAAGCAGGUCAUAGUGAUCCGGUGGUUCUGAAUGGAAGGGCCAUCGCUCAACGGAUAAAAGGUACUCCGGGGAUAACAGGCUGAUACCGCCCAAGAGUUCAUAUCGACGGCGGUGUUUGGCACCUCGAUGUCGGCUCAUCACAUCCUGGGGCUGAAGUAGGUCCCAAGGGUAUGGCUGUUCGCCAUUUAAAGUGGUACGCGAGCUGGGUUUAGAACGUCGUGAGACAGUUCGGUCCCUAUCUGCCGUGGGCGCUGGAGAACUGAGGGGGGCUGCUCCUAGUACGAGAGGACCGGAGUGGACGCAUCACUGGUGUUCGGGUUGUCAUGCCAAUGGCACUGCCCGGUAGCUAAAUGCGGAAGAGAUAAGUGCUGAAAGCAUCUAAGCACGAAACUUGCCCCGAGAUGAGUUCUCCCUGACUCCCUGAGAGUCCUGAAGGAACGUUGAAGACGACGACGUUGAUAGGCCGGGUGUGUAAGCGCAGCGAUGCGUUGAGCUAACCGGUACUAAUGAACCGUGAGGCUUAACCUU
rnacentral:rRNA from 1 species